rnacentral:lncRNA from 1 species
CAGGCAUUUGCAGAUGUUUGCAGGUCACAUGUGAGUUCAUUCUGGUGCUGAGGUAGGGAUCUUGGAGGAGAUCAUCCACAAGACAUUUCAAAACACAUUUUCCACUUAACAUAAUAUUGCAAAUAGAUAACAGCCUUUCAGUGAGCAUCUUCGUUUGAGUGGAAUGUAGGGAGGUUGAUGUUUUUGUGGGUACUCCUUUAAAAAGACACUAGUUUUCUUGAAGGAAUCAGGAUUCCUGUUACACAGGUAGCAGAAAGAAUUCUGCUGCAGUAGAAAUGAUUAAUUUUGAUUUUCUGCAAAGUCAAGGGGGUGGCAUUGUGCUGUUCAGAUCUGGAGGUUUUAUUUGUUUUUAAGCAAAAGGGAAAUAAUAUAGAGAAAAAUAUUUUGGUCUGUUUUGUUUUGACAGGACAGUUUCUUGCCUCAAAAAUCUGUUCUUCAAGCCAGAACAGGGUGGUGGACCAGAAGUAUUCCUCAGGAAUAGAAGAAUUUACUCCAGGGAUGUUUUUAGAAGAAAUCAAGGGAAUGCAGAAGUGUGGAAUUUUAAAGCAGAUUCAUGCCAAGCCUUCACUGGGCAAACAGUGUCCAACAUAGUGUUUGAAGUAUGUUCCCAGCUUGGUGGUGCUCGUGGAGAAAUACUGCUGCAAAUCAUGCAUAUGGCACAUUGCCCAGCCAGUGUGGUGCAGAUGUAUAAGGAGGAGUCCUCCAGGACUACUGAAAGGUGCUUUUUGCUGUCCUGUGAAGAAGAUUAAACCUGCUUUUACUGGCUCCCUUGGACAGAGUUUCCUUGGGAUGAUGAAGGUGCUCAGCAGAGGUACUGAAUGAAGCCAAGUGGGAUGAUUCUGUCUUGUGUCUCAUUGCCUUACCUGUCACUGCUCUCUUGGUGUUUUCUCUCUGUUCCUCCUUUCCUGGAGAUUUUACAGAACAGAGCAGAAAACAUUUCUGAAGAUUUCAUCCCUGCUCAUCUUUAUUAACUAUGGUGUCAAGUCCUGCCUGG